rnacentral:tRNA from 1 species
GAGGAUAUAGCUCAGAUGUAGAUUGUAUGCUUAGCAUGCAUGAGGCCUUGGGUUCAAUCCCCAGUACCUCU